rnacentral:rRNA from 1 species
GACGAACGCUGGCGGCGUGCUUAACACAUGCAAGUCGAACGGAAAGGCCCUGCUUUUGUGGGGUGCUCGAGUGGCGAACGGGUGAGUAACACGUGAGUAACCUGCCCUUGACUUUGGGAUAACUUCAGGAAACUGGGGCUAAUACCGGAUAGGAGCUCCUGCUGCAUGGUGGGGGUUGGAAAGUUUCGGCGGUUGGGGAUGGACUCGCGGCUUAUCAGCUUGUUGGUGGGGUAGUGGCUUACCAAGGCUUUGACGGGUAGCCGGCCUGAGAGGGUGACCGGCGACAUUGGGACUGAGAUACGGCCCAGACUGCUACGGGAGGCAGCAGGGGGGAAUAUUGCACAAUGGGCGGAAGCCUGAUGCAGCAACGCCGCGUGCGGGAUGACGGCCUUCGGGUUGUAAACCGCUUUCGCCUGUGACGAAGCGUGAGUGACGGUAAUGGGUAAAGAAGCACCGGCUAACUACGUG